rnacentral:rRNA from 1 species
UAAUUCCGGAAUUCCUGGGGCUUAAAAAGCCGCACACAAGGCGGGUUAGGUUAAUUCCGUAUGUAAAAUCSCCAGAGGCUCCACCUGGGGAAACUGCAAUGAGGAUAGUUGCAAGCUUGAGUCUUAGAAGAGGGGGGGGAGAAAUGCAGGGUUUACCGGGUGAAAUGGGGGAGAGAUCCGGAGGAAUGGCGGUGCCGAAGUGGGCCCCCUGGCCGAAGAGUGCCGUUCAGGCGCGAACGCGUGGGGAGCAAACAGGCUUAGAUGACCUGGUAGUCCACGCCUUAAAGGAUGUAGMGUUGGAGGUUGGGCCUUUGAAGCUUGGAUUCCGGAGCUAACGAAUUAAGUCGRCCAASUGGGGAGUACGGCCGCAAGGUUAAAACUCAAAUGAAUUGACGGGGGCCCGCACAAGCGGUGGAGCAUGUGGUUUAAUUUGAUGCAACGCGAAGAACCUUACCUGGUCUUGACAUCCWCGGAAGUUUUCAGAGAUGAAAAUGACCUUCGGGAACCGUGAGACAGGUGUUGCAUGGCUGUUGUCAGSUCUUGUCAGAAAUGUUGGGUUGAGUCCCGCAACGAGCGCAACCCUUAUCCUUUGUUGCCAGCGGUCCGGCCGGGAACUCAAAGGAGACYGCCAGUGAUAAAGAGGAAGAAGGUGGGGAUGACGUCAAGUCAUCAUGGCCMUUACGACCAGGGCUACACACGUGCUACAAUGGCGCAUACAAAGAGAAAAGUCCUCGGGAGAGCAAGCGGACCUCAUAAAGUGCGUAGUAGUCCGGAUUGGAGUCAACAACUCGACUCCAUGAAGUAGGAAUCGUUAGUAAUGGUGGAUCAGAAUGCCACGGAUAAUUUGUUCCCGGGCCUUCUCCACACCCCUCUUCACACCAUGGGAGUGGGCUCAAAAGAAGUAGGUAGCUUCACCUUAGGGAGGGCGCUUCCACACG